CUGACUUUGUUAUCAACUCUAGCUAGAUUUACACAUGCAAGUAUCCGCAUUCCCGUGAGAAUGCCCUACCGUCUCCUGAGUGGAGACAAGGAGCCGGUAUCAGGCACAUACAUACUAGCCCACGACGCCUUGCUUAGCCACACCCCCAAGGGAAUUCAGCAGUGAUAGAUAUUAAGCCAUAAGCGAAAGCUUGACUUAGUUAGUGCUAAGAGGGCCGGUAAAUCUCGUGCCAGCCACCGCGGUUAUACGAGAGACCCAAGUUGAUAGCCUUCGGCGUAAAGAGUGGUUAAGAUUUUUUCCUGACUAAAGCCGAACGAAUUCAAAGCUGUUAUACGCAUAUGAAUAAACGAAGCUCAAUUACGAAAGUGGCUUUACUUUCCCUGACUCCACGAAAGCUAAGAUACAAACUGGGAUUAGAUACCCCACUAUGCUUAGCCCUAAACAUCGAUAAUACCCUACCUAUAUUAUCCGCCCGGGGACUACGGGCAUUAGCCUAAAACCCAAAGGACUUGGCGGUGCUUUAGAUCCACCUAGAGGA
rnacentral:rRNA from 1 species